rnacentral:rRNA from 1 species
UACGGAGGAUGCAAGCGUUAUCCGGAAUCAUUGGGCGUAAAGCGUCCGCAGGUGGCAGUUCAAGUCUGCUGUCAAAGACUGGGGCUUAACCCUAGAAAGGCAGUGGAAACUGAACAGCUAGAGUGCGGUAGGGGUAGAGGGAAUUCCCGGUGUAGCGGUGAAAUGCGUAGAGAUCGGGAAGAACACCAGUGGCGAAAGCGCUCUGCUGGACCUGCACUGACACUGAGGGACAAAAGCUAGGGGAGCGAAUGGG